AAAACAUAGUUUUGAGAAAAUAAAUAAUUCAAGAUUUCCCCUGCCCACUGAAAUAUCAAUAUUUAAAUGGCCGCAGUACUUUGACUGUGCUAAGGUAGCAUAAUAAAUUGGCUUUUAAUUGUAGUCGAGAAUGAAUGGGGUUUCAAUUAGAAUCUGUCUUAUUAAAGAUUUAUAGAAAUUACUAAUUAGGUGAAAAUUCCUAAAGGUUAUUUAUAAUAGACGAGAAGACCCUUAGAGUUUUAAUUAAUAAAGAAUUAACUAUAUAAAUAAAUAACACACUUAUUUAUUUAAAAGAAAUUAGCUUAUAUAUUUUUGUUGGGGCAACAGGUAAACAAUUAUAAAACUUUUCUAUUUGAUGAUUUAAGUAAAUAAUAUUGAUAUCAGACAAAAUUAGUUUUUUGAGUAAGCUAAACUACCUAAGGGAUAACAGCAUAAUUUAAUAAUAUAAGAUUAUGACCUCGAUGUUGGAUUAGGGCCUCUCUAGGUUAACCAUCUAGAGAGAAGUGUUCUGUUCGAACAUAUUCUCCUACAUGAU
rnacentral:rRNA from 1 species